UACGUAGGGUGCAAGCGUUGUCCGGAAUUAUUGGGCGUAAAGAGCUCGUAGGCGGUUUGUUGCGUCGGCUGUGAAAGCCUGAGGCUCAACCUCAGGCCUGCAGUCGAUACGAGCAGACUAGAGUGUUGCAGGGGAGACUGGAAUUCCUGGUGUAGCGGUGAAAUGCGCAGAUAUCAGGAGGAACACCGGUGGCGAAGGCGGGUCUCUGGGCAACAACUGACGCUGAGGAGCGAAAGCGUGGGGGAGCGAACAGG
rnacentral:rRNA from 1 species